rnacentral:rRNA from 1 species
UACGGGGGGGGCAAGCGUUGUUUGGAAUUAUUGGGCGUAAAGGGCGCGUAGGCGGCCAUGCGUGUCUUUCGUGAAAUCCCUCGGCUUAACUGAGGACGUGCGGAAGAAACUGCAAGGCUUGAGUCCGGGAGAGGGGGGUGGAAUUCCCAGUGUAGCGGUGAAAUGCGUAGAUAUCUGGAGGAACACCGGUGGCGAAGGCGGCAUCCUGGACCAUAACUGACACUGAAUAGCGAAAGCCAGGGGAGCAAACGGG